rnacentral:rRNA from 1 species
GCUUGGGAACGUGCCUUGAGGUGGGGGACAACAUUUGGAAACCAGUGCUAAUACCGCAUAGUGUCUACGGACCAAGGGGGGCUUCGGCUCUCCCCUUUAUAUUGGCCCAAGUGGGAUUAUCUAUUUGGAGAGGUAGUGGCUCACCAAGGACAAUAUCCUUAUGUGGUUUGAGAAGAAGAUCACCCACUCUGGGACUGACACACGGCCCACACUCCUACGGGAGGCAGCAGUGGAAAAUAUUGCACAGUGGGCGCAAGCCUGAUGCACCCGUGCCGCGUGUGUGAAAAAGGCCUUCGGUUUGUAAAGCUUUUUCACUCGAGAAGAAAGGUUAAUAUUUAAUACCUGCUAUCUG